UAAGGAAUGUUGGUCAAUGGACGCAAGUCUGAACCAGCCAUGCCGCGUGAAGGAUGAAGGUCCUCUGGAUUGUAAACUUCUUUUAUCUGGGACGAAAACGGGAUUUUUAUCUCAAUUGACGGUACCGGAGGAAUAAGCACCGGCUAACUCCGUGCCAGCAGCCGCGGUAAUACGGAGGGUGCGAGCGUUAUCCGGAUUUACUGGGUUUAAAGGGUGCGUAGGUGGGCUUAUAAGUCAGUGGUGAAAUCUCCGAGCUUAACUUGGAAACUGCCGUUGAUACUAUAGGUCUUGAAUUAUCUGGAGGUAAGCGGAAUAUGUCAUGUAGCGGUGAAAUGCUUAGAUAUGACAUAGAACACCAAUUGCGAAGGCAGCUUACUACAUAUAAAUUGACGCUGAGGCACGAAAGCGUGGGGA
rnacentral:rRNA from 1 species